rnacentral:rRNA from 1 species
CAGUCGCCGCGGUAAUACGUAGGGGGCAAGCGUUAUCCGGAAUUACUGGGUGUAAAGGGAGCGUAGACGGUUAAACAAGUCUGAAGUGAAAUGCCGGGGCUCAACCCCGGAUCUGCUUUGGGAACUGUAGAACUGGAGUGUCGGAGGGGUAAGCGGAAUUCCCAGUGUAGCAGUGAAAUGCGUAGAUAUUGGGAGGAACACCGGCGGCGAAGGCGGCUUACUGGACGACAACUGACGUUGAGGCUCGAAGGCGUGGGUAGCAGACAGGAUUAGAUACCCCCGUAGUCCCUGUCUCUUAUAC